AGUCGAACGGCAGCACGGACUUCGGUCUGGUGGCGAGUGGCGAACGGGUGAGUAAUGUAUCGGAACAUUACUGUGCUUGAGAUAACUGCGCGAAAGCGGCAGCUAAUACCACAUACGCCCUUCGAGGAAAGCGAAGGACCUUCCGGGCUCGCACUAUUAGAAGCGGCCGAUAUCGGAUUGGCUAGUUGGUGGGAAUAACGGCUCACCAAGGCGUGGCGUCGUAGCUGGUUUGAGAGGACGACCAGCCACUGGGACUGAGGUGCAGCCCAGGCUCCUACGGGAGGCGGUGGGAAUUUUGGACAAUGGGGGAAACCCUGAUCCAGCCAUCCCGCGUGUGCGAUGAAGGCCUUCAGGUUGUAAAGCACUUUUGGCAGGGAAAGAAACGGCACGGGAUAAUACCCCGUGCAACUGACGGCCUGCGGUAAGCACCGGCUAGCUACGUGCCAGCAGCCGCGGUAAUACGUAGGGUGCAAGCGUUAAUCAGAUUACUGGGCGUAAAGCGUGCCCAGGGCGGUUCCGGAAGAAGAUGUGAAAUCCCGACUUAACGUUUGUACAACACCGGCCGAAGAACAUGUCGAAGGAGGUAAAUUCCGCGUGUAGCAGUGAAAUGCGUAGAUAUGCGGAGAACACCGAUGGCGAAGGCAGCCUCUGGGAUAACACUGACGCUCAUGCACAGCGUAAGGAGCAAACAGGGAUUAGAUACCCUGGUAGUCCACGCCUCAAACGAUGUCAACUAGCUGUUGGACUGGGCCUUGGUAGCGCUGCUAGCAACGUGAAGUUGACCGCCUGGAGUACGGUCGCAAGAUUAAAACUCAAAGGAAUUGACGGGGACCCGCACAAGCGGUGGAUGAUGUGGAUUAAUUCGAUGCAACGCGAAAAACCUUACCUACCCUUGACAUGUCUAGGAAUCCCGAAGAGAUUUGGGAGUGCUCGCAAGAGAACCGGAACACAGGUGCUGCAUGGCUGUCAGUAGCUCGUGUCGUGGAAUGUUGGGUUGAUCCGCAACGAAGCUGUACUUGUCUGGCAUUAGUUGCUACGAAGGGCACUCUAAUGAGACUGCCGGUAACAAACCGGAGGAAGGUGGGGAUGACGUCAAGUCCUCAUGGCCCUUGUCGGGUAGGGCUCCACGUCAUACAAUGGUCGGGACAGAGGGUCGCCAACCCGCGAGGGGGGAGCCAAUCCCGAAGAAACCCGAUCGUAGUCCGGAUCGCAGUCUGCAACUCGACUGCGUGAAGUCGGAAUCAUAGUAAUCGCGGAUCAGCAUGUCGCGGUGAAUACGUUCGGGUCUUGUCUACACCACCAAUCACACCAUGGGAGUGGGUUUUACCAGAAGUAGUUAGCCUAACCGUAAGGAGGGCGGUGCAGUAGGAUUCAUGACUGAGGUGAAGUCGUAACAAGGUAG
rnacentral:rRNA from 1 species